GCAUAUCAAUAAGCGGAGGAAAAGAAACUAACAAGGAUUCCCCUAGUAGCGGCGAGCGAAGCGGGAAGAGCUCAAAUUUAUAAUCUGGCACCUUCGGUGUCCGAGUUGUAAUCUCUAGAAAUGUUUUCCGCGUUGGACCGCACACAAGUCUGUUGGAAUACAGCGGCAUAGUGGUGAGACCCCCGUAUAUGGUGCGGACGCCCAGCGCUUUGUGAUACAUUUUCGAAGAGUCGAGUUGUUUGGGAAUGCAGCUCAAAUUGGGUGGUAAAUUCCAUCUAAAGCUAAAUAUUGGCGAGAGACCGAUAGCGAACAAGUACCGUGAGGGAAAGAUGAAAAGCACUUUGGAAAGAGAGUUAACAGUACGUGAAAUUGUUGGAAGGGAAACGCUUGAAGUCAGACUUGCUUGCCGAGCAAUCGGUUUGCAGGCCAGCAUCAGUUUUCCGGGAUGGAUAAUGGUAGAGAGAAGGUAGCAGUUUCGGCUGUGUUAUAGCUCUCUGCUGGAUACAUCUUGGGGGACUGAGGAACGCAGUGUGCCUUUGGCGGGGGUU
rnacentral:rRNA from 1 species